GCCUUUGCCUCCGCACAAGUUCAGCUUUCCUUUCCUAAAUUUCUGGUGUAUGAGUUUUCUAAAAGAAACAGAAAGGCAAAUCAGAACCAGAAUGUAAAUGUUUUGUUUCCUUUAUUACCACUCACCAUAGUCCAAAGCUCUUUAGUAAUAAGUAAUGCAACGGAGUUGAUGCCAAAACACUUGACAAAGUUGUCUGAUUCCCUGGCUGUGCCCGUGGCUCUCUGGAGUAGCCCCGGACUUCAGACUGAUGGAUUAAACCCCGAGCCCUGCCCUAUGAGCUACGGCCUUGCACAGGUCUGUUUGCUUAAUGAGGCCUGCUAGGUCCAAACACCCACCCUGCUUAGGGUGUGAUCACUCCACGGAGCCGCCAGGAAACUCCGGGGAUUCCCCUCCUUCUCCCCCCACCCCCACCCCCACCCCGCGAGCCCGUGACCUGUCCGCCUGCGGAAGUCCCGCCCAGAGCCGCCCCAGCACGCCAGGCUCCGCCCCGCCGCAGCCGCUGUCCUCACGCCGGUGCUGAUCCACGUAAAGGCCGCUCGUCGCCCCGGUGCGCUUCCGCGGCCGGAGCGAAGAUAGGGGCACCGAAAGCCCACAGCCUGGUAGAAGGGCCAGGGCGGCGCCAAGUCCGGGUGAAUCCGGCCCGCGAUGCCUCUCGAAGCCGGCACGCUCACCGCUUCCGUGAAGCAGUCAGGCCCCGGGGCCGCCGAGCUCUGAGGCCGCGCUCGUGCCAUGGCC
rnacentral:lncRNA from 1 species